GGCAACAAUAGCGCCUCCGAAAGCGUAGCUGUAGGCCCAUUACAGCUUCAUACUGUUUUCAUAUAUGGUGAAAUUCAUUUAGGAGAUCCUAAUAAUAUUCCCUCCAUAUGCUUUCGAAAAGUACCCCAAGAGAAUAAAUAAAUAAAUAAAUAAAAUUUGCGAUCUCUCCCUCUCUCUCCAGCUGGCAGAGUUCGUAUUGCAGGAAUUUUCAUAAAAAUGACUGAUUAAAGAUGAAGAUGGAGAAAGAGAGCUUGAGCAUAUGGAGUCACCCGCCAUUUAUAACCAGCUUGAAAAUGGUUAUAUCUGCUGAGCUGGGAUGUCUCUGACCAGACUCCCUUGACACCGACUGCUUACCUACCUGCUAGACCAACACACAUCUUACCUGCUCAAUUUACACCCAUGAUACGAAAUUUCAAAAUCUUAAUCUUCCUUACUCUUUAUGGCUAUUGAGUGAUAAAGACAGAGAAAUAUAGAUAUCAAGUCCUGGCUUGAGGAACAGUAGUAAGUGGGGAUUCAAGGACACGUAAUAAUAUGGAGUUAGGAGAUUCUUUUGUUCAUGGUGUUUUAAGUCUCUAUUGGCUGAAUUCAUCUUGUUGUAAAUAGACCUGAAGAUGGCAGAUAAAGAUUACCACAGUAGUAAAUUUGUACGGAGCUGUUUCUUCCGCAAUCACACAAUGUCCUGCAUAUUUGUCGUUGUGGCUGCUUCAUCAAAAUCCUAAAGAAGUAUGGCUUCAUCAAUCAAUGUAUCAAACUGUCGAGGGUCUUUAGAAACCCAGAGGCUCUCACAAUCGGCUAGGGCACAUUGCUUU